UUGAUUUUUUAUAAGACUCAGACAAUAAAUAAAGAGUUUAUAUCCUUCGGCAGGAACUCGCCCGCAGAGCCGACAGUCCAAAAGAACGUCCUGCCGAAGCAACUGGUCAAUACACAUUGGGUGGGAGUUUCCCUUUCAGGAAAAAACUCGUUAAUGAUCCUUCCGCAGGUUCACCUACGGAAA
rnacentral:misc_RNA from 1 species